rnacentral:rRNA from 1 species
AUUGAACGCUGGCGGCAGGCCUAACACAUGCAAGUCGAGCGGAUGAAGGUAGCUUGCUAUCUGAUUCAGCGGCGGACGGGUGAGUAAUGCCUAGGAAUCUGCCUGGUAGUGGGGGACAACGUUUCGAAAGGAACGCUAAUACCGCAUACGUCCUACGGGAGAAAGUGGGGGAUCUUCGGACCUCACGCUAUCAGAUGAGCCUAGGUACUGAUUAGCUAGUUGGUGAGGUAAAGGCCCACCAAGGCGACGAUCGUUAACUGGUCUGAGAAGAUGAUCAGUCAAACUGGAAAGGAGACACGGUCCAGACUCCUAGGGGAGGAAGCAGUGGGGAAAAUUGGACAAUGGGCGAAAGCCUGAUCAAGCCAUGCCGCGUGUGUGAAGAAGGUCUUCGGAUUGUAAAGCACUUUAAGUUGGGAGGAAGGGCAGUAAGUUAAUACCUUGCAUAGUGGACGUUACUCGCAGAAUAAGCACCGGCUAACUCUGUGCCAGCAGCCGCCGUAACAC